UGUAGGAGUGAGCCUGCUCGCGAUAGCGGUGUGUCAGUGACAUUUAAGGUGACUGACACACUGCUAUCGCGAGCAGGCUCACUCCUACA
rnacentral:antisense_RNA from 2 species